AUCGCUUCUAGGCCUUUUGGCUAAGAUCAAGUGUAGUAUCUGUUCUUAUCAGGUUAAUACCAUCAUCUAUGAGCUUCCUUCAUGGCUGACAGUGUGUUAUAUACUCUAAAAACAUAUUUACACGUCACUAUAA
ensembl:snRNA U2 U2 spliceosomal RNA